UAAUACAAACAAUACCUCCUAUAAUACACCGGAUAAAUCUAUUAACAUAGAAACACCCAUGUUAAAACUAGUAAUAAGAAUAAUUCUCUCACGCACAAGAAAAUAUUAACAGACAUAAUACAUUGCACCAAAUAGAUCACAAGAAAACCCUAUCUACCAAUACUGUUAACCCAACCCAGGAGUGCAUAAAGAAAGAUUAAAAAUUACAAAAGGAACUCGGCAAAUAAAAGUCCCAACUGUUUACCAAAAACAUAGCCUUUAGCCCAACAAGUAUUAAAGGUAAUGCCUGCCCAGUGAUAUUUUCAACGGCCGCGGAAUCCUACACCGUGCAAAGGUAGCAUAAUCACUUGUCAUCUAAAUAAUGACUAGUAUGAACGGCCCUAUGAGGACUUCCCUGUCUCUCGUAAUUAAUCAAUGAAACUGAUCCCCCAGUACAAAAGCUGGGAUAAAAUCACAAGACGAAAAGACCCUGUGGAACUUAUAAGUACUAAUCAAUAAUAUGAUACAAGUACUUUUAGUUGGGGCAACUUUGGAACAAAACAAAACUUCCAAUAUAGGGUAUACUUACCCAAAACUAAGUCCACACACUAACUUUUAACCCAUCAAUUGACCCAGUAUUACUGACAAAAGAAACAAGCUACCCCAGGGAUAACAGCGCCNUCCCCUCAUAGAGCCCNAAUCGACGAGCGGGGCUUACNNACCUCGAUGUUG
rnacentral:rRNA from 1 species